rnacentral:rRNA from 1 species
UACGUAGGAGGCAAGCGUUGUCCGGAUUUACUGGGCGUAAAGCGCGCGCAGGCGGCACACUAAGUACGAUGUGAAAUCUCCCUGCUCAACGGGGAGGGUGCAUUGUAAACUGGUGAGCUAGAGGACGGUAGAGGGGGGUGGAAUUGCUGGUGUAGCGGUGAAAUGCGUAGAGAUCAGCAGGAACACCCGUGGCGAAGGCGGCCCCCUGGGCCAAUCCUGACGCUGAGGCGCGAAGGCUAGGGGAGCGAACGGG